CCUACGGGUGGCUGCAGUGGGGAAUAUUGCACAAUGGGGGAAACCCUGAUGCAGCAACGCCGCGUGAGCGAUGAAGGCCUUCGGGUCGUAAAGCUCUGUCCUAAGGGAAGAAUAUUGACGGUACCUUAGGAGGAAGCCCCGGCUAACCACGUGCCAGCAGCCGCGGUAAUACGUAGGGGGCUAGCGUUAUCCGGGAUUACUGUGCGUAAAGGGUGCGUAGGCGGCCCUUCAAGUCAGAGGGUGAAGGCUACGGCGCAACCGUAGUAAGGCUUUGGAAUUGUAGGGCGUGAGUGCAGGAGGGGAGAGUGGAAUUGACUGGGGGGCGGUGUAAUACGUGAAUAAUGGGAGGAACACCAGUGGCGAAGGCGGCUCUCUGGACUGUGACUGACGCUGAGGCACGAAAGCGUGGGGAGCGAACAGGAUUAGGUACCGGGGUAGUC
rnacentral:rRNA from 1 species